CCCUUAGACGUUCUGGGCCGCACGCGCGCUACACUGACCAGUGCAACAAGCAUCCGUCCUUGGCCGACAGGCCCGGGCAAUCUUUGAACGCUGGUCGUGAUGGGGAUAGACUUUUGCAAUUUUUGGUCUUCAACGAGGAAUUCCUAGUAAACGCAAGUCAUCAACUUGCAUUGAUUACGUCCCUGCCCUUUGUACACACCGCCCGUCGCUCCUACCGAUGGGGUGAUCCGGUGAAUGAUUCGGACUCUGUAGUCUCGCUAUGAGUUUUAACGGAGAAAGUCUUGUGAACCUUAUCACUUGGAGGAAGGAGAAGUCGUANCA
rnacentral:rRNA from 1 species